ensembl:rRNA 5S_rRNA 5S ribosomal RNA
AUCUACAACCAUACCACCCUGAACACAACCACUCUGUGGAAGCUAAGCAAAGUCAGGCCUGGUUAGUACCUGGAUGGAGAGUUAUAAGUGGGGCCUGGGAGGGUGUGCAGG